AAUAGACAUAUAGGGAAAGACCCAUGAUCAAAGAACCAACAGCAAAAAAAAAAAAAAAAAAAAAAAAACCUUUUUUUUUUUUUUUUUUU
rnacentral:ribozyme from 1 species